CUUUCUUUGCUGGCGACCGGCGCACGGGUGAGUAACACGUAUCCAACCUGCCGAUAACUCCGGAAUAGCCUUUCGAAAGAAAGAUUAAUACCGGAUAGUACACGAAUAUCGCAUGAUAUUUUUAUUAAAGAAUUUCGGUUAUCGAUGGGGAUGCGUUCCAUUAGUUUGUUGGCGGGGUAACGGCCCACCAAGACUACGAUGGAUAGGGGUUCUGAGAGGAAGGUCCCCCACAUUGGAACUGAGACACGGUCCAA
rnacentral:rRNA from 1 species